rnacentral:rRNA from 1 species
UGGCCGCGGGAUUCGAUUAAGCCAUGCGAGUCGAGAGGUUUCUGACCUCGGCGUACUGCUCAGUAACACGUGGACAAUCUGCCCUGGAGAGGAGGAUAUCCCCGGGAAACUGGGAUUAAUACUCCAUAGUUCGUCUUAACUGGAAUGUUAUUCGAACGAAAGAUCCGUCGCUCCAGGAUGAGUCUGCGGCCGAUUAGGUAGUUGUUGGGGUAACGGCCCAACAAGCCUUUCAUCGGUACGGGUUGUGGGAGCAAGAGCCCGGAGAUGGAUUCUGAGACACGAAUCCAGGCCCUACGGGGCGCAGCAGGCGCGAAAACUUUACCAUGCGGGCAACCGUGAUAAGGAAACCCCGAGUGCCAGCACAGGCUGGCUGUCCGCCAGUUUAAAUAACUGGUGAAGAAAGGGCCGGGCAAGACCGGUGCCAGCCGCCGCGGUAAUACCGGCGGCUCGAGUGGUGGCCGCUAUUACUGGGCUUAAAGGGUCCGUAGCUUGAUAACUGGGUCCCUUGAGAAAUCCGCCAGCUCAACUGGCGGGCGUUCAGGGGAAACUUGUUUUCUAGGGACCGGGAGAGGUGAGGGGUACUGCCGGGGUAGGAGUGAAAUCCUGUAAUCCCGGUGGGACCACCUAUGGCGAAGGCAUCUCACCAGAACGGGUCCGACAGUGAGGGACGAAAGCUGGGGGAGCAAACCGGAUUAGAUACCCGGGUAGUCCCAGCUGUAAACUAUGUGCGUUAGGUGUGUCAGUGACCACGUGUCACUGAGGUGCCGAAGGGAAACCGUGAAACGCACCGCCUGGGGAGUACGGUCGCAAGGCUGAAACUUAAAGGAAUUGGCGGGGGAGCAAAUCACUAGUGCGGCCGCCUGCA